rnacentral:miRNA from 1 species
UGGACAGGCCAAGCCGCUGUGCA